AUUGAACGCUGGCGGCAGGCUUAACACAUGCAAGUCGAGCGAGCGGCGGACGGGUGAGUAAUGUCUGGGAAACUGCCUGAUGGUGGGGGAUAACUACUGGAAACGGUAGCUAAUAUCGCAUACCAUCAGAUGUGCCCAGAUGGGAUUAGCGAGUAGGUGGGGUAAUGGCUAACCUAGGCGACGAUCCCUAGCUGGUCUGAGAGGAUGACCAGCCACACGGGAACUGAGACACGGUCAAGACGCCUACGGGAGGCAGCAGUGGGGAAUAUUACGCAAUGGGCGCAAGCCUGAUGCAGCCAUGCCGCGUGUGUGAAGAAGGCCUUCGGGUUGUAAAGCACUUUCAGCGAGGAGGCGUUACUCGCAGAAGAAGCACCGGCUAACUCCGUGCCAGCAGCCGCGGUAAUUC
rnacentral:rRNA from 1 species